rnacentral:rRNA from 1 species
GACGAACGCUGGCGGCGUGCUUAACACAUGCAAGUCGAACGGAAGGGCCCUGCUUUUGUGGGGUGCUCGAGUGGCGAACGGGUGAGUAACACGUGAGUAACCUGCCCUUGACUUUGGGAUAACUUCAGGAAACUGGGGCUAAUACCGGAUAGGAGCUCCUGCUGCAUGGUGGGGGUUGGAAAGUUUCGGCGGUUGGGGAUGGACUCGCGGCUUAUCAGCUUGUUGGUGGGGUAGUGGCUUACCAAGGCUUUGACGGGUAGCCGGCCUGAGAGGGUGACCGGCCACAUUGGGACUGAGAUACGGCCCAGACUCCUACGGGAGGCAGCAGUGGGGAAUAUUGAACAAUGGGCGGAAGCCUGAUGCAGCAACGCCGCGUGCGGGAUGACGGCCUUCGGGUUGUAAACCGCUUUCGCCUGUGACGAAGCGUGAGUGACGGUAAUGGGUAAAGAAGCACCGGCUAACUACGUG